CAGGUGGUUGCCCAGGUCCGUCUUAUGGAUAGGGCAGCUCUGGCCACGAGUGCAGGGACUGGACUAGAUGACCUCUCGAGGUCCCUUCCAGUCCUACGAUUCUGAUUCCUUGUUUGUCUUUUCCAGGAUUCAUGGCCAAACCAGCUGCCAAGUACUAGAGAAAUCAUUCAGUCUUCUCUUCUCAGGCAGAGCCUGCUGACCAGCAAUGCCUGGAGUUAGCGGCUGGACGCAGCAGCACACAAUAACACGAAGCAUUUAAGAACCUCAAAGCACUUUACAAAGGACCGAGAAAAGCUGCUGUUAUUAAAACAAAGGAUUCUGGCUCUGUCCGCUGGAGGGUACCACAUGUUACAAAAGCCAGUCAAGAAUCUGGGGCGCUGUGUUAUGGUAGGAUUCGGCUGUUGCACAGUUUCGGUUGUAGCUGGUGGUGUGGUUUUGGCAGAGCCCAGGGGCCAGUCCGUUGUCCCACUGAAAACCACAUGGACCUGGUGGUUGCUGCUGGGAGAGCGCAUGGUGAGGAUUACAGCUCAGCAUUGUGACAGGCCAGAACGAGAGAGGUCCUGUGGCUGGGUGAGUGUUUGGGGGACCAGACGGGAGCCCCACACAAGAAGGCAGAGAUCCUGCUGGAGGCAAGGACGUGGCUGGGAUGGAAGCAAGCGCUGACUCUGAGGCUGAAUGACAUGGGGGCAGUGGGAACGGGACACGGUACCACCCUUCAGUGAUCUGUGUUACUUUAUCCCAUUCUUGGUUUAAAUAGUGAAAAAAGCAGCCGGUGUUUCUGACCGAGUGUUCCUGAGCCUGGCUGGCAGGAAUUCCAGCAUCUGCUGCAGUCCGGCCCAGUUGCAGCACCAGGAUGUGGCCAGGAGCUGCUAGACAGGUUUGGUAGCUGAGUAGGCAGGUACCAGAUGGUGUCUUGGGUGGAUAGUGGCCAGCCCAGCAGCUCCCAUAUGCCGUGGUGAUACAGCAGAUAAUUGUAACCCCAAAUCCCUUUAUCUGGUGAACCUGCCCCCCAGGGUCCUUCACCUUCACAAGGCUUGUGAGCAGAGUGGUUUUCAGUGUGGUCUGAAAAGGGACUGUGUGAAAAAAUGGCCACCUCUUAGUCUGCAGAUCAGGCCCUGUGUGAAUUCAGUGUCCCGGCUGCAAGACGGAAAGAACCCGGCUGGAAUCCCAGGUGCAGGGGGCACGUUCUGGGUCCGUCUGAUUUGCCUGGCCCGUGGGAGAGGGUCAUUAAGAAAUAUUCUGGCUGGUAUUUUUUCUGUAAAAGACCCAACUGCAUUUUGUUUGGUACAAAUGCUAUUGCAGGGGACUGUGAAUGUGCUUUGAUGUCUGGCUAAUAUGCAGUGGUGCUUUUCCUCCUUCUUACGCUGAAUAUCUGCUUGGUGAGAAAAGGAACUGUGAUCUGGCUCAGUCAGAAUGGAGUGCUGUCGCUCCCUGUCAGCCGGGGUCCUGGCCCUGUUCGGCCGGGGGAGCAAAGGGUCCUGCUGUUCUACUCCACAGUAAUCUCCGUGCAAAGGAGCCCAGGAUGUGUGUGGUUCAUAGACUUUAAAACCGAUUGUCUCAUUUGUUUGUUCCACAUGCUGAGAGGGAUCCCAAAUACAGAUAAGACGGCUGCUCAGAAGCAGAUGUAUUUAUUUUCCAGCUUCUCCUUGCGUGUUCACAGUGAGCCGGCAGGGGAAGCCACCCUUCAAUAUGGGUUGUGCUUCCAUCUGUAGAAGAGGUUUCCAACCGUCAGAGGUGUGAGGUUUUGGAACAGCCUCCCAAGAGGAGGAAUGGGGUUGGCGUGGCUAGGCAGGCCAAUAAACUGCCCAGGCAGCAUCUGAAGAAAGAGACAGGAGCAGGGCGCUAAUUCGAAAUGGGCGCAGCCGGGCAGAACAGGAGGGGCCCGUAUAAAGCCAGGAGCUGAGUGCAGCGAUGGGGGCUCCCUGGGAGGAGGGAGCUGGGGCUGUCCAGCCCAGAAAGGGGGAAAGUCAGAUAAGUAGGAAGAAGCCCAGGGAAACAGCAGUGAGGAGUAGGACCAUACAGACCUUGGCUGCUUUUAUAAGGUCCCUGGGCUGGGUCCAAGUGUAGAGGGUGGGCCCGGGCUCCCCUACCAGCCACUGGGAAGUGGCGCAGGAGAUGCCAGUCGGACUGUGGGUCUGGAAGACUUUGAUUUCCCCAGAAGGGUAGGACCUUAGUGAGCUGGUCGGAGGGCCAAGCCACAAACAGGAAGCAGCAGCUCUGGGAGUGAGAAGAGCCACAGGGUGACAGAGACGGCGGGUAGAGAGACUGCCAGAGGAGGGAAGCACAGUGCCUGGCAAGAGCUAAUCCCCAGAGCCGCCAGGAGGAGGCGCCACAUGCUGUGACAGACACUUUGCUCUGGUGGCCCCUCAGUCGGAAAGCCAGCGUAUUGGUCGGUUUCGAUGUAAUCUCUUGCCUGUGUUUUGUGUGGGCAGUGUUCCUUUGCAAACCCUGCUAAUGAGGCUGCUUCACGGGAUAAUAUUCAGAAGUAAGUUCACUGCACAUUUUAUCCUACGAGUCCUUGAAGUGGGCAGUUGGGGGCUGGGAGUUCUGCCGUGAGUUGGAGGUUUAAAUGACGGUAAAAAGGACUUGGCGUAACACUGGAACAAAGGGGCCUCGCAAAUUAUUAACACCCCCCCCCCCCUUUCCUGGCACGAGCAGCCAAGGGGUGCACAGGCUGAAAUACCGGCUAUGCCGGGUGGGCAGCUUGUUGAUCAAAGUUCACAUCUGAUCUUGUUGUUUCAGACAUUGGUUAUUUCAUUGACAUUUCUGUCUUCCAAGUUUUACCUGAGUGAACAGAUUACUCACCAAAAACUGGCUACGUUUGGCAAAGUUAAUUAUAAAACAAAGAAGGAGGGAGAAUUUAGCCAAAGCAAUUGUGAUGGGUCUUAAGACCAUGAAAACGGUUGGGUAUGUGGUGGAAAUAGAAAGAUCACAAAGGGGACAUAUCUCUGUUGGCCACUGGUCUGUCACCUGGACACUGAUUUUUAGACACCUCAGAUUGAAAUGACUAAUAUGGGUUGUCUCUGUUCAUUUCAGCUUCACUUCUGAUUUUCAUUUUUACAGUAAGAAAAUUCAUAAGAACAGCCAUAAUGGGUCAGACCAAAGGUCCAUGUAGCCCAGCAGUCUGUCUUCCAACAGCAGCCAAUGUCAGGUGCCCCAGAGGGAAUGAACAGAACAGCGCUGCCCUAGGUCAACAUCUGCCUACGGGACCGGAGGCGUGUGAAGUAAGACUUGGCGGCUUCCCCUGGAAGGAAAGGACAGUGACCCGUGGACAGCAGAGCCGUUCUCGGCUAUUGCAGCAGUGUGUUUGCGGCCCUCAGCCUGCGCGAUCCCCGAUGCGGAAGUCGAUUUACAAGCCAGUUAAAACAUGGAUAAGCCUUGAUCACAGCGUGUGAACACAACGCACAUUUCCAAGCAGUGAAACGCGCAGAGUGGGCACUCCCUCCCCCGCCUCCCGCUUGGGGAAUUGAAAUCAGAAGCAUUUUUUUCUCCCCAGAGUAUUGCUCCGUGGGGUUAUUGCAACAACUGGGCAUCACUGAUGCUCCAGCCUCUCCUGUCUCCUCUUAACCCUUUCCCUUGUGCCAUAGCAAUCCCCGGCUGGCCACUCGGACCAGCGUCACGGUUGCUUUGUGCUACUGGAGUGGUGCAAAACAGCUGGAUCUGGCCCGUUGCCAUUGACUUAUUCAGGCAUGUGCUAUUGCUUCUGAGCUAGUGACUCGAAGCACUUACACAAGCUAUUCCAGCUGGGAGCCAGGUGUGUUUCCUCAGUAGUGAGGACCAUGGCCACCUGGGGAGAGCAAGGCUAAGAAAGAAUUUGACUGAAGGAAGCUUUGCAUAAUUAUACCACUAACCCUGUCAAAUGUGUCAGGCAGUUGUUGAGAGGGCUGCCUGGUCUUUCCCCGAGAGAAGCCCCCCACUGACUCCUCACUCCCCCCCCUGUAUGUGUGCACAAUGAUACAAUUGUGAUGUUGUAUGAUACCAUCAUAAAUUACAUGAUUACACGCUGUUUCCCCCAGGACUGCGUGACAGGGCGAUGGUCUGUCCCUGCCCUCCCAGGCACCAGGAGCUGCUCAGACCACUUCUUUCCGUGUCCACUCUGUAUUUUAUUCCCGCCCCUUCCACCAACACCUGAACCGUGCGACAUCCCAGUUUGUGAUCCCUACGGCUUUCUGUUCUUCUCUGGCAGGGCCUAGGACAAGAGCUCUCUCCUGCCCCUCCCUGGAGCCCUUCCUUCCUGGCUUUUAUCAGGGUUAACGGAGGGCUAAUUAGUUCCUCACCUCCCCACCCUCUCCUCCUGAUUUGCCAAUUGCUCAAUCGACCAGCACUUGGGACACUAACCGAGGCCACAGUGCCCAGGGUGCUGACCCCUCUGGCAGGCCUCCGCCCUGGGGCACAGACUCGUGCGGUGCACAGGAGGGGACAGCUGUAGGGAUGAGUCGAGGCUGCCCAGAGGAGACUGUCGUCUGCAGGGUCCUGCCUUGUUAGCUGGGGAGGUUGGAAGGGGUGUGGUGAAUGAAGCAGGGACGUGCAGGGUGAGCCAGGCUGGCCUUGUGCUUAAGGCAGCUGCCAUUUUUUAUGUCGUGCAUCUGAAAGUCCCGCUGGUCGCCGCUGCAAAUCGGACAAUGUGUUCUGUGCUGGGCGCGACUCAGUUAGUGCCGGGAACUGGGGGAGGGGUUUUCCUACAGCCACUGAGUGGCAGCCAGGCAGGGUGUUAGGGGCCUGGCCCAGGGCUCUGCACAAUGUGAGCAAUACCCCCCACCCCCGAACAUCUCCUGCAGGGCUUCACUGGCCGGGGGGCAACCUCCUGCCUCUGGCUCAUUGACUCGGAUAUUCUCCGUAACUUGGGGGAGCUCAUCAGCUAGCGGGUGGGAUGGGUCCUCCUCAUCUUCCGGGCCCAGCUGUUCACCGCUAGGGUUGACAAAGCAGGAGGUUGAAGGGCUGCCGGUUUGGGUUUUUAUGCUGGAGUCUCCUGACCGUCUGUAUAAGGCUCCUGAAGCGUGUGUGACGUCUGAGGCCUACGCCACGACUGUAACGCAAGUAAUAACACAGUCAAACCAAGAAUCAAGCCCCUUUCUACUGGGCUAUUUAUGUUUAUAAUGUAUUGGUGCUCUUCCGGUGGCAUCCAGACUCGUUACAUCUCAAACCAGGGUUCAAGUAACAAGACUGAACGGUGAAAGGGAGCAAAGAGGCAGGCUUUAGAUCAAGUGCAGGUAGGAUUGAUAAUAUUUAAAAACCGGAUACUCCAGCAGGAGUGCCAGAACCUCCCCUGCCCCGCCUCUUCCCGAGGCUCCGCCCCCAUUCACACCUCUUCCCCUGAGGCUCCGCCCCCAUCCACGCCUCUUUUCCCCUCCCACCCCCCUCGCUUGAGUCAGGAGGGACAUGCCUGUGGAGCCGGGCUCGGAGCUGCAGCACCUGAUGCAGGUAAGAGGUGGCUCUGGCGGAGUAGGGCCUGGUGUGGGCGAUGACCCAUCACCUCACCUCCGCCACCUGCAGUAACUGAACUUUUGGUGUCCGGUCAGUAGAACUGAUGGGAUACUUUCAGGUCCCCUUUUUGACUAGACUUUCCGGUCCAAAACCAGGCACCUGGUUACCUUCCGCACUGGUUUGGCUGGCAAGAUUACCCGUGUUCUGCCUGGUACACUGUGAUCGAUGGACCAUGAGAGAGGGUGAAUGCCAUGGUCAUGUACACCCCCCCCCCCAAAAAAAAACAGCCCAUUUCCGGUCUUCACAGGUGCAAAACAUCCAGGUGUAGCUGGAGUCGUUCUGUCCCUCGCACCUUCCAAUGAGCUGCCUCACUCAGGGUGAUGUUUGCCAACACUAUUGCUGCCAGCUCAUCUGGAGAGGCCGGCCAGUCGGGCCUGCCUAGAAAUCGUGGUAAAGGAGUAGAUGAUUCAGGGCAGGUCUACACUUAAAACGCUGCAGCACUUCAGGGAAGAUACCACUACAUCGACAGGAGAACAUCUCCCAUUGGUGUAGUGAAUUCACCUCCACGAGAGUUGGUUGCCAUGUUGACGGGAGGGUUUCUAUAGCUCGGUCUAUACCGGGGUUAUAGAAACUGUGUCGCUCAGCAGGGUGGAUUUUUCACACCCCUGAGUGACGUAGUUAGCGCCAUGUAAGUUUAUAGAGUUGACCUGGCCUCAGUGACAGAGCAGGUGCAUGAUAAUUGUGGUAGAUUUGGGAGGCAGAAACGCACUGCCCUCCUACCCCCACCCAAGGGUGCUGACUGAAGACUACCCAAGGACAGCAGUGGCUUGUUUGGUAGCCUCCAAUCUAGGAUCCGGUUCCUGUGAAGCCACCUGGAUUGGCAGAUUUGCCAACCCCAAGCAGUGUUUUAGCACCCAAAGCCUUUCUCUCACUCUCUCAUUUGUGAGAUUUGAGGUUUUGUGCUUUUAUGUGUUUGGGCUUUAAAAAUGGAGUGUUGUUUCUCCAGACUCAGGUCAUUCUUACACAAACUGCCCCAUGUAAACCCAGGGUGAACCUGCCCUUAGCACUGGUCCAGCCCUCACUGAGCAAGGCCAUGGGGCCCCACCAGUUAUAACAAAUACAUUGGACUUUUACAGCAUCUUUCUUUGAGGAUCUGGCUGUGCCUGUGUCAGGGUUUCCUCCCCACUCUGAACUCUGGGGUACAGAUGUGGGGACCUGCAUGAAAGACCCCCUAAGCUUAUAAGUACCAACUUAGGUUAAAAACUUCACCAAGGCACAAAUCCUUUCCUUGUCCUUGGACAGUAUUGCUGCCACCACCAAGUGAUUUAGAGAAAAAUUCGGAAAAAGACCGCUUGGAGUCCCUAUUUCCCCCAAAUAUCCCCCCAAGUCCCUUCACCCCCUUUCCUGGGGAGGCUUGAGAAUAAUAUACUAACCAAUAGGUUAACAAAGUGAGCACAGACCAGACCCUUGGCU